UGAACGCUGGCGGCGUGCCUAAUACAUGCAAGUCGAGCGAACGGACGAGAAGCUUGCUUUUCUGAUGUUAGCGGCGGACGGGUGAGUAACACGUGGAUAACCUACCUAUAAGACUGGGAUAACUUCGGGAAACCGGAGCUAAUACCGGAUAAUAUUUUGAACCGCAUGGUUCAAAAGUGAAAGACGGUCUUGCUGUCACUUAUAGAUGGAUCCGCGCUGCAUUAGCUAGUUGGUAAGGUAACGGCUUACCAAGGCAACGAUGCAUAGCCGACCUGAGAGGGUGAUCGGCCACACUGGAACUGAGACACGGUCCAGACUCCUACGGGAGGCAGCAGUAGGGAAUCUUCCGCAAUGGGCGAAAGCCUGGCGGAGCAACGCCGCGUGAGUGAUGAAGGUCUUCGGAUCGUAAAACUCUGUUAUUAGGGAAGAACAUAUGUGUAAGUAACUGUGCACAUCUUGACGGUACCUAAUCAGAAAGCCACGGCUAACUACGUG
rnacentral:rRNA from 1 species